AUACGGGGGAUGCAAGCGUUAUUCGGAAUCAUUGGGCGUAAAGGGCACGCAGGCGGUUCUGUCAGUCAGAUGUGAAAGCCCGGGGCUUAACCCCGGACGUGCAUUUGAAACAGCAGGACUUGAGUAUGGUAGAGGAAAGCGGAAUUCCUGGUGUAGAGGUGAAAUUAGUAGAUAUCAGGAGGAACACCGGUGGCGAAGGCGGCUUUCUGGACCAAAACUGACGCUGAGGUGCGAAGGCGUGGGUAGCGAACAGGAUUAGAUACCCCGGUAGUCC
rnacentral:rRNA from 1 species